CCGCCCCCAAUAAUACUAAAAACCCUGCAAUGCCUUGCUUUUCUAAUUCUUAAAGGAAACAGGGCUUAUUGCCUCCUGCAAGGAACCAACGUCCGUUCAAGGAAUGAGAAAUGAUUAAAACCAGCUGGCUAGGCAAAAGACAGAGACCACUGGGAAGCAGAAAUCAAGAGACAAUUUUCCCAUUAGAGAAAUAACUAUUCCCUACAUGAAGCAUUUUUCCUCCCACCUCUUCUCUACGAUCCCUAGAUUUAAGGGAAAUUAAUUACUGGCCAGACCAUCAGUCAUUAUCGCUGGACUCUAAGAAACAGACCACUUUCUCUAGGGGAAGCAACUGCCAUGUCUUGAGAACAUUCAAGCAGCCCUAUGAAGAAGGUCACAUGAUGAGGAACUGAGGCCUCUAGCCGCCACGUGAUCCAUCUUGGAAGUGGACUCUCCAGCCCUGUCACGCCUUCAGAAGACUGAAGCCCUGCUUGACAUCAUCACUGCAACUUCAUGAGAGAUCCUGAGCCAGAAUAAUUCUAUUAAGCUGCUCCCAGAUUCCUUCCCAUAGAAACUACGUCAGAUAACAAAUGUUUGUUGUUGUUAAGCCACUAGUGCUUUAGGAUACUUUGUUUUGCAGCAGUGGAUGACUAAUACAUCUGUGUUGAGUAGAUAGCAUUGCCCUGAACUCUCCAUUCAUGGACUCAGGAUUGUAAAUGAUUACUAGGAGAGAGAGAUUCAGAGAGAAAAAUUUUCAUUCCAUUUUCUAUUUGCACCAAGAUAUGGGAGAGUGGCAAACAUCCAGUAAGCCUGGAUCAAAAUUCGAAGUGCCCUGGUUGAUCUGGGCAGGAAGUCAAGACAGCCCAAAUGAGGGUCAAUGAGGGCAAGGACAGAGUAGUGGGCCCUGAAGGGAAAAGUAAACCCUUCAUCAGCACAAUGGGGAAUAAUUGGCUGUGUAAGAACGAAGGUCAGGCUCCCUGUGCGCUUAAAAUAGGUGUUCAAUACACACGCAUUGAUUGAUGUUGCUUGAUUUAUUUUGAAUGCCAGACAGACCAUGAGUCAUCAGUAUUGCAAUAUAGCUUAAAUAAAUGUGAGUUGUGCCUGGAAAAAUAUCAAUUCAGCAGUGAGGACCAAAAGGAAUCACUCAGCCUCUCCCUGGGUAGCUUUACUGGUCCCACCUGCCACAGACCUCUGAUUACUGAGAGCGAGGAGCUUCCCAGUUGGAAGGUGAAUAAUGCUUCAGGGGGGAAAUGAAGGAGAGUCUCCAGUGGGAAGGCCUUUGGCAGUGGAGCCUGACCAGUUGCUCUUGUUUCAAGGGAGAACCUGGGUCGAUUUCUCUAUAGGAAGGUUAGUGGUGUGAUUUGCUAAGAUGCUGAGACAGACCCUUCAUAGGUUGGUGGUGAGAGAGGACAGGAUGCAGGGAGUGGGUUGGGGGGUAGUGGAAGAGAAAUUUGAUACAGUCGUUAGACACAGUUCACACAAAGAUAUGGUUUAAUUUUGUUUUUAUUAGUCUCUUGAUGAGAACCUUGCCAUGUUUAUGCUUCCACAACAAAUACAAGUGUGGCUUGUGUUCUAGGUCAUGUUAGAUUAAUAUUUUUCUUUUUUGGAGGUUAAGGCCCUAUGUGAAGUAUUGAGGGGCACAUUAUCAUUAAGAUUUCUUAUGUUCUAGUUUCUCUGGGAGAAUCUAUAUUUAUACAUCUUAUCCCAGUGUCAUUAUUUUAGUGCCACUUUUUCAAAAGCAUCCUGAUUUGGACAAUUAGUUAUAUGGCAGCCCACUUUGAGUCUAAGUGGAGUGGCGAUACAGUGGAGUGGGUAGAAAUAAGGAGUCUGGCACAAAACUCGCUGAGGGAAAGUCCCUGCUUUACCACUUAAUAAUCAUGUGACCUUGGACAAAUUCCUUCAUAUUUCUGUACUGUGGUUACUGUAAAGUGGGCAUAAUAAUAACAUCUAUUCAUGUGGUUAGGGUGAGGAUUAAAUGAGUUAUUAUGCCUAAAGCCCUGCAAAUGGUGUAUGAAAGCGCCGAGAUCUGAAAGCUGUGUAACAGCUUUUGGUUUAGUUAACAUUAAAUCUUUAUGAAGCUCUUGUAGUGAAGUUGUUAUUAUGUCCCUUUGUAAAUGAAGACACUGAAUUAUCAAGAGAUAGAGAAACUUUUCUUAGGCAGAGCAGCUAGAAGGUGGUAAGUGCGGGAGUCAGUCUUAACUCUGACCUCAAAGCUGGCGCUUGUUAGAGUAUAGCACAAGACUGGUUAGCCUUAAAGACUCUUUAUGCCCUUUUGUCAUUUUCUUGAACAAGUCAGUAUGAGGCAUUAUGCAUACAUUCUUACUCUCAUUCAAUUCUAUACCAGCUCUAGCCAGAGCAGAGAUUUUUCUUUUUUGCAGAGUUGAGGGGGAAGGAGGACUGUUUUCGUCAUCUUCUGGUGUCCUGCACCU